rnacentral:sRNA from 1 species
UCAUUGCUCUCUGCUCUUGGCUAUGGAUGUAAUGUGGUUAGCUGCUUCAAGUUCCAGCUGCCUUGACUUCCCCACAGUGAUGCAUUAUAACUUGGAAUUGUGAGCCAAAUAAAUACUUUGUUUCAUAAAUUCCUUUGAUCAGGAUAUUUUUAUUACAACAGUGGGAAGGAUAAAUUAAGACAGAGUUGCACAUUAUUAAUUUCCAUAUAUAGAGGGUCCUCCAUCUUAUUACUCGUAACAUUGAUUGGUUAUUGCAUUAACCUUCCAACUUUAAAUAUAAUACCACUUUUCUCUUUUAAUGCGUGAAAAUUGUCAUACAUAUAAGUUAAUAUUGAUAACAUUUCUAUAGGUAUGAAAUUCUUCUGCAUCUAUCUUGUCCAGAAAGUCAUUACUAGCUACCUGCUAACGCUGAAUAUCUAAAAUAUGCUUUUUCGACUCUGGAUUUCUUCUUAGUGAGACAAAGUGAAGGAGUUUGUAACUGGGCUCAAUGUACAGAAAAUAGUGCUGAAGCCAACGAAUAGAAGAGCUCAACCCAGAACCUGUGGAGGUUGAUAGAACAAUACUCAGUACUGGAAGAGUGAUUAGGAAUAUGGGAAUGGGGAUGUGAAAGAUUUGGAUCUUACCCUGAAAACUUUUACCAGCUGGUUACAAGUCCUAGAACAAGGAGCACAUCUGCCCCAUGUUUCAUACCUGCUCAUGACUUUAUCCUUCUCUAUCAUUAUUCUGCCACCUCGCCAGAGCAAAUUGUUGAUGAACGGUGAAGCUCUCAGCCUUUAUCCGAGAAGCAUAUUCAUCAGCGAAUGACAGUGAAAGCAGAUAUUUCAUAACUUGCCAGAGUGCUAAGAUGACAGGAGUGGCAAGCCCUAAAUGGGACAUCUGUAUCAUCUACUCAAAGACCCAGGAAAUAUUGCCAAAGAAGGGAUGAAAAGACUUGAAGAGCUUAGCACAAGCAUAAGACCUGAACAUGUAAACAAAAGAUAUAAAAGUAGGAGGGGUACUAGUUUGGAAGAAGAACCAGCUCAGUAGGAAGGGAAGGACAAAAGAAGUGCCUACAGAGACAGAAGAUGAGCCAGGCCAUCUGGAACUGCUGUGACCGAGGAUUUUGAGGCAACCCCUGGAAGCUGAGAAUUGAACCCAGGUACUCUGGAAGAACAGGUGUCCUCAACCACUAAACCAUCUUUCCAGCACAUUGAAAAGUACGUCAUAAAUAAAAGGUGCACCACCAUUUAGUGCUUACUGUGUGUUCACACAGCAGAAAAUGUGGCAAAUCCUCAGUUACGAAUGAAAAAUAGAGACAGAGAAAGUGACGUCUUUGUUCAAGACUGCACAGUCAGGGAGUGAAACAGCUUGGGUUAGUACACAGGAUAUUAUGCUUCUGCGUCAAAGAUCUGCCAUUGAAGAAGCAGGCUGGGACCCUUUUCCUCCUACUGGGUUGCCUUUUCCAGCCUUGAUAAGAGGGUUUGUGCCAAGGCUUAUUAUAACUUAUUAUGCAUCGUUUGGUUGAUAUCCC